AUGCAACCUACCCAUAACAGGGGGGAUAACACUGAGAAAUUGGUACUAAUACCCAAUGACGUCUCUAGAAGACAUCUGAAAGAGAUUAAAGAUUUAUCGGUGAUGGAUGGGGAUGCGUCUGAUUAGCUUGUUGGCGGGGUAACGGCCCACCAAGGCGACGAUCAGUAGGGGGUUCUGAGAGGAAGGUCCCCCACAUUGGAACUGAGACGCGGUCCAAACUCCUACGGGAGGCAGCAGUGAGGAAUAUUGGUCAAUGGACGAGAGUCUGAACCAGCCAAGUAGCGUGCAGGAAGACGGCCCUAUGGGUUGUAAACUGCUUUUAUAAGGGAAUAAAGUGAGUCUCGUGAGACUUUUGCAUGUACCUUAUGAAUAAGGACCGGCUAAUUCCGUG
rnacentral:rRNA from 1 species